AGAUUGAACGCUGGCGGCAUGCCUUACACAUGCAAGUCGAACGGCAGCACGGGAGCAAUCCUGGUGGCGAGUGGCGAACGGGUGAGUAAUAUAUCGGAACGUGCCCAGUCGUGGGGGGAUAACGCAGCGAAAGCUGCGCUAAUACCGCAUACGAUCUAUGGAUGAAAGCGGGGACCGUAAGGCCUCGCGCGAUUGGAGCGGCCGAUAUCAGACUAGGUAGUUGGUGGGGUAAAGCUCACCAAGCCAACGAUCUGUAGCUGGUCUGAGAGGACGACCAGCCACACGUGGGACUGAGACACGGCCCAGACUCCGUACGGGAGGCAGCAGGUGGGGUAAUUUUUGGGACUAAGUGGGACGACGAACGGCCCG
rnacentral:rRNA from 1 species